rnacentral:misc_RNA from 1 species
GAUGAAGAACGUAGCGAAAUGCGAUAAGUAAUGUGAAUUGCAGAAUUCAGUGAAUCAUCGAAUCUUUGAACGCACCUUGCACCCUUUGGCAUUCCGAAGGGUAUGCUCGUUUGAGUGUCAUUGUACUCUCACACUCUCCGAUCCUAUGGAUUCGGGGAGCGGUGGACUUGGGUGUUGCUGCCUUUCCCUGUGGCUCACCUCAAAUGCGUCAGUGCACCUCUUGGUUGGACAUAGUACGGCGUGAUAAGUGUCUUCGCCGGCACCGCGCAAGAGGGUGGCCGAUCGGGAGCUCUGCGCUUUCAAACCGUCUUCGGACAAUUUCUGACAUCUUGACCUCAAAUCGAGUAGGACUACCCGCUGAACUUAAGCAUAUCAAUAAGCGGAGGA